rnacentral:sRNA from 1 species
ACUCAACACUAAUUAUAUUAGAAAGGGUGAGUUUAGGUUGUAAAAGCAAGCCUUCUUGAAAGGAUCCUUGAGCAAUCUGGUAGCCCUAUACCUGUUUUUUGGAGUUU